rnacentral:rRNA from 1 species
UGGGGAAUAUUGCGCAAUGGGGGAAACCCUGACGCAGCAACGCCGCGUGAAGGAAGAAGGUCUUCGGAUCGUAAACUUUUGUCUUCAGGGACGAUAAUGACGGUACCUGAGGAGGAAGCCACGGCUAACUACGUGCCAGCAGCCGCGGUAAUACGUAGGUGGCGAGCGUUGUCCGGAAUUACUGGGUGUAAAGGGUGCGUAGGCGGGUUAUUAAGUCAGAUGUGAAAUGCCGCAGCUUAACUGCGGAGCUGCAUUUGAAACUAAUGAUCUUGAGUGCAGGAGAGGUAAGCGGAAUUCCUAGUGUAGCGGUGAAAUGCAUAGAUAUUAGGAGGAACACCAGUGGCGAAGGCGGCUUACUGGACUGUAACUGACGCUGAGGCACGAAAGCGUGGGGAUCAAACA